rnacentral:misc_RNA from 1 species
CUUGACAGUCUUUCCUCUGAUUGGGUACUUUAGGAUUAUAUUUGCUACAUAAGCUAGAGUCUGAACUAUUAGAAUAAUUAUGCCGAACUUCUAGAGUAGAUUGGAGUCAGAUUGACGUAUUUUACAAAUAUCACUUUUAACUAGUUAUAGCAACACAUACGUCAUUCCAAAAGUGCGUUUCUCUUUACUUUUAGGAGUACGAAUAAAAGUUUGCUUGAGG